rnacentral:rRNA from 1 species
CCUACGGGAGGCUGCAGUGAGUAAUAUUGGUCAAUGGACGAGAGUCUGAACCAGCCAAGUAGCGUGAAGGAUGACUGCCCUAUGGGUUGUAAACUUCUUUUAUAUGGGAAUAAAAUGUUCCACGUGUGGGAUUUUGUAUGUACCAUAUGACUAAGGAUCGGCUAACUCCGUGCCAGCAGCCGCGGUAAUACGGAGGAUCCGAGCGUUAUCCGGAUUUAUUGGGUUUAAAGGGAGCGUAGGUGGAUUGUUAAGUCAGUUGUGAAAGUUUGCGGCUCAACCGUAAAAUUGCAGUUGAAACUGGCAGUCUGGAGUACAGUAGAGGUGGGUGGAAUUCGUGGUGUAGCGGUGAAAUGCUUAGAUAUCACGAAGAACUCCGAUUGCGAAGGCAGCUCACUGGACUGCAACUGACACUGAGGCUCGAAAGUGUGGGUAUCAAACAGGAUUAGAUACCCCUGUAGUC